UGGGGAAUUUUGGACGAAUUGGGCGAAAGGCCGAUCCAGCAAUGCCGCGUGUGUGAAGAAGGCCUUCGGGUUGUAAAGCACUUUUGUCCGGAAAGAAAUCCUUGGCUCUAAUACAGUCGGGGGAUGACGGUACCGGAAGAAUAAGCACCGGCUAACUACGUGCCAGCAGCCGCGGUAAUACGUAGGGUGCAAGCGUUAAUCGGAAUUACUGGGCGUAAAGCGUGCGCAGGCGGUUUGCUAAGACCGAUGUGAAAUCCCCGGGCUCAACCUGGGAACUGCAUUGGUGACUGGCAGGCUAGAGUAUGGCAGAGGGGGGUAGAAUUCCACGUGUAGCAGUGAAAUGCGUAGAGAUGUGGAGGAAUACCGAUGGCGAAGGCAGCCCCCUGGCAAGUACUGACGCUCAUGCACG
rnacentral:rRNA from 1 species